rnacentral:rRNA from 1 species
GACGAACGCUGGCGGCGUGCUUAACACAUGCAAGUCACGGGGGCCGGUAGCAAUACCGGUAACCGGCGAACGGGUGCGUAACACGUGAGCAACCUGCCGAUCUGCGGGGGAUAGCCGGCCCAACGGCCGGGUAAUACCGCAUACGCUUCUUGAGGGACAUCCUUCGGGAAAGAAACCUCGGGUAACCCCUGGGGCAGAUCGAGGGGCUCGCGGCCUAUCAGCUAGUUGGUGAGGUAACGGCUCACCAAGGCGACGACGGGUAGCUGGUCUGAGAGGAUGGCCAGCCACAUUGGGACUGAGAGACGGCCCAGACUCCUACGGGAGGCAGCAGUGGGGAAUCUUGCGCAAUGGCCGAAAGGCUGACGCAGCGACGCCGC